rnacentral:rRNA from 2 species
GAUGAACGCUGGCGGCGCGCCUAACACAUGCAAGUCGAACGAUUAAAGCACCUUCGGGUGUGUAUAAAGUGGCGAACGGCUGAGUAACACGUGGGCAACCUGCCCCUCUCAUUGGGAUAGCCACGGGAAACCGUGGAUAAUACCGAAUACUUCGAGACUUCCGCAUGGAAGACUCGAGAAAGCUCCGGCGGAGAGGGAUGGGCCCGCGGCCUGUUAGCUUGUUGGUGGGGUAACGGCCUACCAAGGCAAUGAUGGGUAGCUGGGUUGAGAGACCGACCAGCCAGAUUGGGACUGAAACACGGCCCAGACUCCUACGGGAGGCAGCAGUGGGGAAUCUUGCACAAUGGGCGAAAGCCUGAUGCAGCGACGCCGCGUGCGGGAUGAAGGCCUUCGGGUUGUAAACCGCUUUCAGCAGGGACGAGGCGAAAGUGACGGUACCUGCAGAAGAA